rnacentral:rRNA from 1 species
AGGACAAACGCUGGCGGAAUGUAUUAGGCAUGCAAGUCGCACGAUCACUUCGGUGGUAGUGGCGGACGGGUGAGUAACACGUGGGUAACUUGCCUCGUAGUGGGGAAUAACUCGCCGAAAGGCGAGCUAAUACCGCAUAACACCCUCGGUGAGAAACCGAGCGGUAAAAGCUCCGGCGCUAUGAGAGAGGCCCGCGGCCGAUUAGCUAGUUGGUGGGGUAAUGGCCUACCAAGGCGACGAUCGGUAGC